AUUGAACGCUGGCGGCAUGCCUUACACAUGCAAGUCGAACGGCAGCACGGGAGCAAUCCUGGUGGCGAGUGGCGAACGGGUGAGUAACGCAUCGGAACGUGCCCAGUCGUGGGGGAUAGCCCGGCGAAAGCCGGAUUAAUACCGCAUACGACCCAUGGGUGAAAGCGGGGGACCUUCGGGCCUCGCGCGAUUGGAGCGGCCGAUGUCAGAUUAGGUAGUUGGUGGGGUAAAGGCCUACCAAGCCGACGAUCUGUAGCUGGUCUGAGAGGACGACCAGCCACACUGGGACUGAGACACGGCCCAGACUCCUACGGGAGGCAGCAGUGGGGAAUUUUGGACAAUGGGCGCAAGCCUGAUCCAGCCAUGCCGCGUGCGGGAAGAAGGCCUUCGGGUUGUAAACCGCUUUUGUCGGGGAAGAAAUACGCCGGGCUAACAUCCUGGCGGGAUGACGGUACCCGAAGAAUAAGCACCGGCUAACUACGUGCCAGCAGCCGCGGUAACAC
rnacentral:rRNA from 1 species